GAGUUUGAUCCUGGCUCAGGACGAACGCUGGCGGCGUGCCUAAUACAUGCAAGUCGAACGCUUCUUUUUCCACCGGAGCUUGCUCCACCGGAAAAAGAGGAGUGGCGAACGGGUGAGUAACACGUGGGUAACCUGCCCAUCAGAAGGGGAUAACACUUGGAAACAGGUGCUAAUACCGUAUAACAAUCGAAACCGCAUGGUUUUGAUUUGAAAGGCGCUUUACGGUGCCGCUGAUGGAUGGACCCGCGGUGCAUUAGCUAGUUGGUGAGGUAACGGCUCACCAAGGCCACGAUGCAUAGCCGACCUGAGAGGGUGAUCGGCCACAUUGGGACUGAGACACGGCCCAAACUCCUACGGGAGGCAGCAGUAGGGAAUCUUCGGCAAUGGACGAAAGUCUGACCGAGCAACGCCGCGUGAGUGAAGAAGGUUUUCGGAUCGUAAAACUCUGUUGUUAGAGAAGAACAAGGAUGAGAGUAACUGUUCAUCCCUUGACGGUAUCUAACCAGAAAGCCACGGCUAACUACGUGCCAGCAGCCGCGGUAAUACGUAGGUGGCAAGCGUUGUCC
rnacentral:ncRNA from 1 species